UUGUGGAUAUCGGAGAUCCUGAGGGAAGGAGGAAUCCAUCAGUUCCCUCUCAGGAGCUGUUUUUCAGGAGGAUCUCCUUGGAAGAUCCAAAUCAGGACACCUCAGGAGGGAAGAAUGGAAGAAAGUUGACUUCUCUGUAUGGUGGAGCUCAAACCGUGGUUGAACCUCCAACUCAACAAGAGGGUCUUGUGUUCUUCAAGGACGUGACCGUAUGUUUCUCCAGGGAGGAG